GAGGAAGGAGCCAAUAGAUGGAUUGGAGGAGGAGGCAAAUUUGAAUUUAAAACUAGAAUUGGUAGAACCUACAUUCAAUAAUACAGCAAAUGAUUAAUUGGGUGGACCAGAAGAAUUAGUAAUUUUGUAGAAUUUUGUUAAGUAGUUUUUAGAUAGGAAUCAAUUGUGUGUUUGCGAGGACAUUGCACAGAUAGGAGUGGGACUAUGUAGAAUGGAUAUUAGUUCGUUUUUAUAAGAUAUUGGUAAAAUAAACUAAUAGUCCAUAGAAUAGUCAGUUUAGGAGGACGGAUGAUUGAUUCAGUUAUUAAAAGCGGUUAUUAUAGGAUUACGGUUAGAAUCUAAAAAUCAGUAGCAAUUAUAUAGAAGUUGUAGAAGUUUGUCGGGGGGCCAGAUUGUGAUAGUCAUGAGCUAUAGUUAAGCUUGGUGCUUCCUCUUUGUUUUUUUAUUUUCUUUGUUGUUGAAGAGUAAUGGAUAGUUUUUGAAUACUGAGAAGUGAGUCUAUGGAAUAAAUCAGAGAUUGAUUUUUGAGUUAUUGAUUAUGUAAUUGGAGUACUGAGUGAUUGAAUUAUAUGAAAAGUUAUUAGAAGAUUGAUUAUGGAUGGAAGAUUAUGGUUGUUGUUUAUUGAAAGUUGUGUGUGUGUAUUUUGACAGAGGAAGUCUGUGAUAACAAGAAUUCUAUGAAUUCAGAU
rnacentral:lncRNA from 1 species